UAACUAUAGAUUUUCAGUAUUCGCAAUAAAUAUUGGAACAUUGCCUCAAUGAAAUUGUCCUUGACACUCGAUGCUCGACGCUCUCCCAAUUCCCAUGUGCUUCCAUGUAAAGGCGCCUAUGGCUUCCGCUGGCUUCUGCGUCAAGAAGCUGCGCCAAGCUGCGCAAUAAGCACUGCGCAAUUCGACGCUCGACGCACGACGCUUGCAUGUAACUGUACCUUAAGGUAUAUACAGCUGUAUUUUGUAAAUAUGGAAGAAAAAUUAUUUCCACAUUAUUUUUGAGGAAAACGGCAAAUAAGAAAAAUAUUAUUCAUAAUGAAGAUACAAAAAUGGGAAGAUUUGGAUGUACGAUUGAGUGAUCCUGUGUUGAAAACGCUUAAACAGUUGAGAUUUUUCAAUAUGACACCGGUUCAGGCAGCUUGCAUACCAUUAUUAUUGAAUGGUAAAGACGUUGCGGUAGAAGCAGUUACUGGCAGUGGCAAGACACUCGCUUUUCUUAUUCCUUUAUUGGAGAUAUUACAAAAACGAAGUGAAAAAUGGAAGAUUAUGGAGACAGGAGCGAUAAUAGUCAGCCCUACGAGAGAACUGGCUACACAGAUUAGUGAAAUUUUAGGAGAGUUUUUGAAAGAAAUUCCAUCAUUGAAACAAGUGUUACUAGUCGGUGGCGUGACGCUUAAAAAAGAUGUAGAGACGUUGAAGAAAGGUGCGAAUAUUAUUGUUGCCACACCUGGUAGAUUAGAAGACGUUUUGUCUAAUCGUAAUUCUAUCGGUUUGAAUUUGUGUGUAAAAUCUUUGGAAUUUUUUGUGUUGGACGAGGCAGAUAGAUUACUAGACUUGGGAUUCUCUGUGACUUUGGAUAGUAUUUUAAGCUAUUUGCCACGUCUUAGAAGAACAGGAUUAUUUUCUGCAACACAGACGAAACAAGUACAACAAUUGAUUAGGGCGGGACUAAGAAAUCCAGCGUUGAUCGUUGUGAAAGAAAAAUCUAAUAUCUCCACGCCUAUAAACUUAAAAAAUAAUUUCACAAUUGUCCAACCUGAAUACAAGUUGCCAGUAAUGAUAGAUUUUAUACGCUCGAUAGGAUUUGAAACAAAGUAUAUGAUAUUUCUACCUACUUGCGCAGUAUUACCAUCGAUAAACGUACUUGCUCUACACGGUAAAAUGAAAAGCAAGAGAUAUAAAGUGUUUGAUAAAUUUCGAAGUGCCCAAAGUGGCAUUUUAAUUUGCACAGAUGUAAUGGCUCGUGGAAUCGAUAUAUCGGAAAUAGAUUGGGUAUUGCAGUAUGAUCCUCCCUGUGUGGCUAGUAGUUUUGUACAUAGAUGUGGUAGAACCGCUAGGAUCGGCAAUGAAGGAAACGCGUUGCUGUUUCUUCUAGAAACGGAGAGUGCGUAUGUAGAUUUCAUUAAAAGAAAUCAAAAAGUCGAAUUGCAUCAAAUGGAAAGGGAAUUGGACAAGGAUACUGUCGACGAAUGCUUACAGUGCAUGAGGCAGAUGCAACAAAAGGAUCGACUUGUGUUUGACAAAGCUAACCGUGCCUUUGUUUCAUACGUGCAGGCAUAUAGCAAACACGAGUGUAAUUUAAUUCUUCAGUUGAAAGAUAUCGAUUUGGGAAAGUUGGCUAUGGGUUUUGGUCUUCUGAGAAUGCCAAAAAUGCCAGAACUCAAAGGAAAGGACGUGUCAUCUUUCGUUGGCCUUGAAAUCGAUAUAAAUACGAUACCCUAUGCGCACAAACAACGUGAAUUGCGUAGAAUUAAAAGGCUGAGCGAAUAUCGGAACACUGGCGUUUGGACGAGUAAUCAGAACAGAUGUAAUCGCAAAAAGCAAACUGAAUCUUGGUCCGAAAGUAAAAAGAGAAAACUCGAGAGACGAGAGAAACGAAGUAAACGAAAGGAAAGGAAGGAGUUGUUGAAACAACAGUUUUCAACAACUUGCAAUAAGAGGAAGAGGAAGCGAAUGAACGAGGAAGAUAUCGAGCAGUUGGCAAAAGAUAUAGCGUUAAUUAAAAAAUUUAAAAAGAGAAAGAUAUCGCAAGAAGAAUUUGAUGCGGCUUUUCAAGUUUGAAAAUGUUAGUCGUAAUUUUACAAGACGUAUUUAAGAUACGUCGAAACUCUCAUUCUUCACUUCUCUCACUUCUUUCAAUGAAAUAAGGCUCUCAGAGGGGGAAAUUUAUUCAUUUCUGCUGUAUUAUUAAAAAUUCACCGAGUUUAAACGUGCUGCAUGCUCGUUGCACGCAUGUCGCUGGUAAUUCUUAUGUAUAAAAUCGUCUUUGUUUAAAGACGCGAUGCGCGCGGCAUCCCCACUACGCUACGGGCCCAGAAUGACGCGGUAGAAGGGAGUGAAAUCCCCCUCCCCACCCCCGGCGUACAGUACGUGUGUGUGUGUAUGCGCGUAUACGCGUAUACGCGUAUACAUAUACAUACAUUUUUUGAAAGGAUGGGAGUGUGGCCCGCGCACAGUGCAGGCUGGUGCAGGUCUGUGUGUGCUUCGAAAAUUAUUAAUACCGCUAGUCAUCGAGUCACUUCGAUUGGCUUUGACGCGCUUCGAUGAUUCACGUACAUUCGUGUUGUACGUAUGUCAAACGAGAUAAGUUUACGUUAAUGAUAAGAGAUUGUCUUACGAUCGUUCUUUGGUCUCAUGCUGGAAAA